rnacentral:rRNA from 1 species
AGAGUUUGAUCCUGGCUCAGGACGAACGCUGGCGGCGUGCUUAAUACAUGCAAGUCGAACGGAGUUAAGGGUUUCGGCCUUUAACUUAGUGGCGAACGGGUGAGUAACGCGUGAAUAACCUGACUCAAAGAGGGGGAUAACAACGGGAAACUGUUGCUAAUACCGCAUGAGACCACAACACCGCAUGAUGAAGGGGUCAAAGAUUUAUCGCUUUGAGAGGGGUUCGCGUCCCAUUAGGUAGUUGGAGGGGUAACGGCCCACCAAGCCAACGAUGGGUAGCCGAGCUGAGAGGCUGAUCGGCCACACUGGAACUGAGACACGGUCCAGACUCCUACGGGAGGCAGCAGUAGGGAAUAUUGGGCAAUGGGCGCAAGCCUGACCCAGCAACGCCGCGUGAGGGAAGAAGGUUUUCGGAUUGUAAACCUCUGUCCUAUGUGACGAAGGAAGUGACGGUAGCAUAGGAGGAAGCCCCGGCUAACUACGUGCCAGCAGCCGCGGUAAUACGUAGGGGGCGAGCGUUAUCCGGAUUCAUUGGGCGUAAAGCGCGCGUAGGCGGCCCGGCAGGCCGGGGGUCGAAGCGGGGGGCUCAACCCCCCGAAGCCCCCGGAACCUCCGCGGCUUGGGUCCGGUAGGGGAGGGUGGAACACCCGGUGUAGCGGUGGAAUGCGCAGAUAUCGGGUGGAACACCGGUGGCGAAGGCGGCCCUCUGGGCCGAGACCGACGCUGAGGCGCGAAAGCUGGGGGAGCGAACAGGAUUAGAUACCCUGGUAGUCCCAGCCGUAAACGAUGGACGCUAGGUGUGGGGGGACGAUCCCCCCGUGCCGCAGCCAACGCAUUAAGCGUCCCGCCUGGGGAGUACGGCCGCAAGGCUAAAACUCAAAGGAAUUGACGGGGGCCCGCACAAGCAGCGGAGCAUGUGGCUUAAUUCGAAGCAACGCGAAGAACCUUACCAGGGCUUGACAUAUGGGUGAAGCGGGGGAGACCCCGUGGCCGAGAGGAGCCCAUACAGGUGGUGCAUGGCUGUCGUCAGCUCGUGUCGUGAGAUGUUGGGUUAAGUCCC